rnacentral:rRNA from 1 species
AUUGAACGCUGGCGGCAUGCCUUACACAUGCAAGUCGAACGGUAACAGGUCUUCGGAUGCUGACGAGUGGCGAACGGGUGAGUAAUACAUCGGAACGUGCCUAGUAGUGGGGGAUAACUACUCGAAAGAGUGGCUAAUACCGCAUGAGAUCUACGGAUGAAAGCAGGGGAUCGCAAGACCUUGUGCUACUAGAGCGGCCGAUGGCAGAUUAGGUAGUUGGUGGGAUAAAAGCUUACCAAGCCGACGAUCUGUAGCUGGUCUGAGAGGACGAUCGGCCACACUGGGACUGAGACACGGCCCAGACUCCUACGGGAGGCAGCAGUGGGGAAUUUUGGACAAUGGGCGCAAGCCUGAUCCAGCAAUGCCGCGUGCAGGACGAAGGCCUUCGGGUUGUAAACUGCUUUUGUACGGAACGAAAAGCCCUGGGUUAAUACCCUGGGGUCAUGACGGUACCGUAAGAAUAAGCACCGGCUAACUACGUGCCAGCCGCCGCCGCAAGAC